ensembl:lncRNA LINC00293 long intergenic non-protein coding RNA 293
ACGGGGAAGAUUUAGAUAUAUCACUAAAACCAGCACCCAAGUGAUGUGACUCUUCACCAGAGUCCUGCCCACAAGGAGGAUUGUGACAUUUCACUGGACCAGCACCCACUCAGGUGGUAUUGCUCCAUAUGCCUGAGACCCUAACAAAAGCCUAAUUACAACUCAUAUGCCUGGAGCCAGGACAUGUGCAGGAUGGUGAUGUAACUUUCCUCUCUGGAAUGGGUCCUGCACAAAGGAAUGAUAGUAACAUAUUGCAAAGCCAGACACACAGGGAAAUUUUGACCUAUUGCACCCAGAUGAUGUUACUCUUCUGAUAGAGUCCUGAAAAAAGAGGGAAUUAUUGCAUACUGGUGGGCCCAGCUGCUGAUGAUGCUACAGUCCUUCCUGUGCCAGAGCCACAGACAGUAUUUUGACAUAAUUUCGGCCCAUUUGCCAUGAUGGUCCAAGUUAUAUUGGGAUUCAGCCAAUAGAAGAUAUUUUGCCUGUCAUCCCUAAGCUUAGGACAAUAGACUCUGCCAAGAGAGGGGAUUAUUACAUAUUGCAGAGCCCAGCACCUAGGUGGAGUGACUCUCAUCUUUUUCUUCUACCCCGUAUAUAGCCAGCUUGGUGACCUACUAUUUGAGUCUAUACCCAGGCCCAGACCACAGAUGAAAUUGUGCAAUAUGUGGAACAAACACCUAAACAAUAUAUAACACCUUCCUUGGCUCUGUCUACAAAGGGCACUUUUAUAUAUCACUGGGACCAUCAACCAGGUGAUGUUGUGCCAUAUAACUGAGACCGUAUCAAAAGCCUAAUAACAAGACGUAUGUCUGGAGCCCCGAUAUGCACAGGAUGGUGAUAUAACCCUCUUCUCUGGAAUGGGCCCCACACAAAGGAAGGAUAGUGACAUAUUGCAAGCCCAGGCACACAGGCCCAGAGCACAGUUGAAAUUGUGACAUAUGUACACCAAGCAACCAAGCAAUGUAUAACACCUCAUUUGGCAAUGGAAUCGAGGGCACUUUUACAUAUCACUGAGACCAGCGCCCAGCUGAUGUGAAAUAUUGGCCUGAACCCUGCCUACAAAAGCAUUGUGGCUUUUAUCUAGCUCCAUUACAUAAGUGAUGUGACUUCCUUCUACUGCCUUGGCCCUGCACUUAUGGUGAAUCGUGACACAAAAUUGGGUAGAGCAACCAGCCUGGGCCCUGACCAGCACAGAGAUUGAGGCAUAUUGCUGAACCCAGGACCAAGAUGAAGUCACUCUCCUGCCUUGAUCCUGCACACAGGGACCCUUGUGACAUAUAUACAGGCCAAUUGCCUAGGUGAUGUUGUGCAAUAUACCUGAGACCAGAUCAAUGGCCUAAUAAUGACUCUUUUACCUAGAG